rnacentral:rRNA from 1 species
AUAGUAGGGCAGCNUUUNCGGAUUNUGGNGUNAAGGUGGUAGGCGUAANCCAGUUGUAGUUUAAAUAUGGGCUCACCCAUAUCAGGNUACAAAACUGUAUAACUGAGUACUNGAGAGGAAAGUGGAAUUCCUAGUGUAGCGGUGAAAUGCGUAGAUAUUAGGAGGAAUACCGGUGGCGAAGGCGACNUUCUGGACAGUAACUGACGCUGAGGCACGAAAGCGUGGGUAGCAAACAGGAUUAGAUACCCUGGUAGUCCACGCCGUAAACGAUGAACACUAGGUGUUGGGGGUAACCUCAGCGCCGUAAGCAAACGCAAUAAGUGUUCCGCCUGGGGAGUACGGUCGCAAGACUAAAACUCAAAGGAAUUGACGGGGACCCGCACAAGUAGCGGAGCAUGUGGUUUAAUUCG